rnacentral:lncRNA from 1 species
AGGACGAGGUUCUCCUCCUGUUCCUAACAUGGCUGUGGGGGCACAUUAGGGCGUUGUAGGGCCUCUCCCCCCAUCCGAUCUAAAAGAACCGGGCCUUUGACUUUGCUCAUGUUAGGACGAGGUUCUCCUCCUGUUCCUAACAUGGCCAUGGGGGCACCUAAGGGCCGUUGUAUGGGCCUCUCCCCCAAUCUGAUCUUAAAUUAAUCGGGCUUUCAUUUUGCUCAUGUUAGGACGAGGUUCUCCUCCUGUUCCUAACAUGACCUUGUUUUGAUUAUUUGAAGGGGUUAUCCCCUGUCGUAACAAGUCCAUGCCAAAAGAAAAAGACAUGCAAAGUCGAAAGAAAUUUUGAUUCAAAGCAAAGUCGUUAGUAGUACAUUUACAGAUUUUUCGAGUCCCAUG